GAUGAAGAACGUAGCUAAAUGCGAUACUUGGUGUGAAUUGCAGAAUCCCGUGAACCAUCGAGUCUUUGAACGCAAGUUGCGCCCGAAGCCAUUAGGCCGAGGGCACGCCUGCCUGGGUGUCACACANCGUUACCCUCGCGCCAACGUNCAUCGUUGGCCGCGGCGCGGGGCGUGCGCUGACCUCCCGCGAGCGGGGUCUCGUGGUUGGUUGAAAAUCGAGUUCGCGGUCGAGGGUGCCGUGAUGAAAUGGUGGAUGGGCGACGCCCGAGGCCAAUCACGCGCGACUCUGUCCGGCUCGGACUCCUGGACCCCUUCGGCGUCUCCGGACGCUCUUUGGCGAGACCUCAGGUCAGGCGGGGCUACCCGCUGAGUUUAAGCAUAUAAUAAGCGGAGGA
rnacentral:misc_RNA from 1 species